rnacentral:rRNA from 1 species
AGAGUUUGAUCCUGGCUCAGGAUGAACGCUGGCGGCGUGCUUAACACAUGCAAGUCGAACGAAGCACCUUGAUUCGAUUCUUCGGAUGAAGAUCUUGGUGACUGAGUGGCGGACGGGUGAGUAACGCGUGGGUAACCUGCCUCAUACAGGGGGAUAACAGUUAGAAAUGACUGCUAAUACCGCAUAAGACCACAGCACUGCAUGGUGCAGGGGUAAAAACUCCGGUGGUAUGAGAUGGACCCGCGUCUGAUUAGGUAGUUGGUGGGGUAACGGCCUACCAAGCCGACGAUCAGUAGCCGACCUGAGAGGGUGACCGGCCACAUUGGGACUGAGACACGGCCCAAACUCCUACGGGAGGCAGCAGUGGGGAAUAUUGCACAAUGGGGGAAACCCUGAUGCAUCGACGCCGCGUGAGCGAUGAAGUAUUUCGGUAUGUAAAGCUCUAUCAGCAGGGAAGAAAAUGACGGUACCUGACUAAGAAGCACCGGCUAAAUACGUGCCAGCAGCCGCGGUAAUACGUAUGGUGCAAGCGUUAUCCGGAUUUACUGGGUGUAAAGGGAGCGUAGACGGAGUGGCAAGUCUGAUGUGAAAACCCGGGGCUCAACCCCGGGACUGCAUUGGAAACUGUCAAUCUGGAGUACCGGAGAGGUAAGCGGAAUUCCUAGUGUAGCGGUGAAAUGCGUAGAUAUUAGGAGGAACACCAGUGGCGAAGGCGGCUUACUGGACGGUAACUGACGUUGAGGCUCGAAAGCGUGGGGAGCAAACAGGAUUAGAUACCCUGGUAGUCCACGCCGUAA